rnacentral:lncRNA from 1 species
GCCCCUCGUUGCAUCACAAUUGAAGUAAGCAUAGGAUUUUGGCGCAUUUGUGAAACCAAAUCCAUAGCUGCAGGAUUAGUGGGCAACUGUUCAAUUUCAGGUGGAUCUGGAACAUACCCCAUAAUUUUCGAUGAAGCUUCCUCACUUGUGAUUUUACGUUUCUUUCCCUCAAUUUUCCUCUCCGCAAUUUCUUCAUCAGCUUUACCCUCC